CCCCCUAAGUUACAUCUCAUAGUUACAUGAAUGUAUAUUUUUUAAUAUCACAUUGUCAGACAAUUAAGGAAAUGUGGGAAGUUCUUAAAGAUAUCAAUUAGGGAACUAAAGACGUCAAGCAAUAUAAGAUCAAAUCCUUGGGGGAAGAAUAUGAACUCUUCCACAUAGAAUCCGGUGAAACUGUGGCCUCCAUGCAGACGAGGUUUUCG
rnacentral:lncRNA from 1 species